rnacentral:rRNA from 1 species
GACGAACGCUGGCGGCGUGCCUAAUACAUGCAAGUAGAACGCUGAAGGAGGAGCUUGCUUCUCCGGAUGAGUUGCGAACGGGUGAGUAACGCGUAGGUAACCUGCCUGGUAGCGGGGGAUAACUAUUGGAAACGAUAGCUAAUACCGCAUAAGAGUAGAUGUCGCAUGACAUUUGCUUCAAAGGUGCAACUGCACCACUACCAGAUGGACCUGCGUUGUAUUAGCUAGUUGGUGAGGUAACGGCUCACCAAGGCAACGAUACAUAGCCGACCUGAGAGGGUGAUCGGCCACACUGGGACUGAGACACGGCCCAGACUCCUACGGGAGGCAGCAGUAGGGAAUCUUCGGCAAUGGACGGAAGUCUGACCGAGCAACGCCGCGUGAGUGAAGAAGGUUUUCGGAUCGUAAAGCUCUGUUGUAAGAGAAGAACGAGUGUGAGAGUGGAAAGUUCACACUGUGACGGUAUCUUACCAGAAAGGGACGGCUAACUACGUG